rnacentral:rRNA from 1 species
UGCGGACAGUGUCUGGUGGGUAGUUUGACUGGGGCGGUCUCCUCCUAAAGAGUAACGGAGGAGCACGAAGGUUGGCUAAUCCUGGUCGGACAUCAGGAGGUUAGUGCAAUGGCAUAAGCCAGCUUGACUGCGAGCGUGACGGCGCGAGCAGGUGCGAAAGCAGGUCAUAGUGAUCCGGUGGUUCUGAAUGGAAGGGCCAUCGCUCAACGGAUAAAAGGUACUCCGGGGAUAACAGGCUGAUACCGCCCAAGAGUUCAUAUCGACGGCGGUGUUUGGCACCUCGAUGUCGGCUCAUCACAUCCUGGGGCUGAAGUAGGUCCCAAGGGUAUGGCUGUUCGCCAUUUAAAGUGGUACGCGAGCUGGGUUUAGAACGUCGUGAGACAGUUCGGUCCCUAUCUGCCGUGGGCGCUGGAGAACUGAGGGGGGCUGCUCCUAGUACGAGAGGACCGGAGUGGACGCAUCACUGGUGUUCGGGUUGUCAUGCCAAUGGCACUGCCCGGUAGCUAAAUGCGGAAGAGAUAAGUGCUGAAAGCAUCUAAGCACGAAACUUGCCCCGAGAUGAGUUCUCCCUGAG